UUAAAGUUUGGUAGAAUUUGUCUGUGAACCCAUCUGCUCUUGGACUUUUGUUUUUUGGGAGUUUUUUUUUAAUUAUUACUGAUCCAAUUUUAUUGCUAGUAAUCAGUCUGUUCAAAUUUUCUAUUUCUUUCUGAUUUAGUUUUGGAAGGUUACAAAUGGAUUUUACCCAUUUCUUCUAUGUUGUCCAAUUUGAAUUUAAGAGAUACAAUCCCAUUUACAAUUGCACCAAAAAUAAUAAAAUACCCAGGAAUAAACUUAACGAAGGAGGUGAAAGAUCUGUACUCCAAAAACUAUAAAACAUUGAUGAAAGAAAUUGAAGAUGACACAAAAAUUUUAAAAUAUUCCAUGCUCAGGAAUUGGAAGAAUCAAUAUUAUUAAAAUGUCCAUUUCACCCAAAGCAAUCUAUAGAUUUAAUGAGAUCUCUAUCAGUAUACCAACAUCAUUUUUCACAGACCUAGAACAAAUAAACUUUGUUUGGAACAACAAAAGACCCUGAAUAGCCAAAGCAACCUUGAGAAAGAAGAACAAAGCAGAGGUAUCACAGUCUCAGAUUUCAAGAUAUACUACAAAGCUGUAGUAAUAAAAAAAAAAUGAUCCUGGCACAAAAAUGGACACAUAGAUCAAUAGAACAGAAUAGAGAGCCCAGAAAUAAACCCACAUUUAUAUGGUCCAUUCAUCUACAAUAACAGAAGUAAGAUUAUACGAUAGGGAAAAGGCAGUCUCUUCAACGAAUGGUUUUAGGAAAACUGGGCCACUUAUAAUACCAUACACAAAAAUAAAAUCAAAAUGGAUUUUAAAAAGUAGGGGGGAGAAGGAGAAGAAGAAGGUAUUAAUAGAAAUGGUUUCUGAAAAAGCACAGGCGUUCACUUACUGGACAAUGGUAUUAAGUCAAUUGUCUUAAAAGUUAACUACAUGACUAUGGUCUGUUUUCAUUGGACUUAGAGGAUAUUUUAUUCUCUUUUAAAGGGCACUCCUUUAUCCCUCCAAAAUGUUAUAUCACUCAGUGUGAUAAUUUAAAAUUUUACAAAAGGGCAAUCAAGGAGUUAUUCCCAGAAACUAUAAGACAUUCUCAAGAGUUUACACCAGUAUUCAAUUUGGCACUAAACUCAACCAUCUGUUGCAACCAGUGACUUCUCAUGGGUAAAGGGUUAACAAUCUAUCUAUCUAUCUCUUGCUCCAGUGAUUAAUCUGACCUACGAUUAACUUUCUAGCUCUUUUCUGAUAAUCUGACACAUGUAAAAUGUCCUCUAUGUUACCAGAAAACACUACUUUUUGGUAAAAAUGACUCUUGAAUGGUAAAUAGUAUCCAUGUUAAAAGGACUAUAUAUGAACUGUAAGUACAAAGUAAGAAACCUAUGCUAUAUUUCCUCUCCUACAUCUUUCCAAGAAAGUGAACAGUGUGGCCUAUUAGGGCUUGUUGGUGUGAAUGAUUAGAUGAACCUGAGAUAAACUCCUGGUGGUCAUUGAGAAACCAUGCACUCAUUUGGCCAGACUUUCAGGUCCUCAGCUAAGAUCAGUCAAGGCAACAUGAGUUAAAAGGAUUGGGGGAGGGGCACCUGGGUGGCUCAAUUGAUUGAGCAUCCAGUUUCUGAUUUUGGCUCAGGUCUUGAUCUCAGGGUCCAUGCUAAGGGGUUCCAUACUCAGUAGGGAGUCUGCCUGAGGAUUCUCUCUCUCCCUCUGCUCCUCCCCCAGCUCAUGCUCACAUACUUUCUCCCUCAAAUAAAAACAAAUCUUUUUAAAAAAGGAAUGGUGAAGGAUUGGAAGGUGCAUCCACCUGUGGCUUGAUGCCUAAAUCUCUUUGGUACAUGACAGGAUAAAUCCUUUUGUGAAGGUGAAGACUGGAAUAAGGCCAAAUUUGUGUCACAAUGAAGAACCAUCUCCACUUCCAUGAAUUGGACCUCACUAAAACCAGUUGUAGCUGGGCUAGCAGAGAUGAUACCACUGUUCAUGGAGCCAUCUGAGUAGGUAUGAUUAAUAUAUGCCAAACUGGGCAUUAAUGACUGGCUGAGGGCACACCAGCCCAUGGAUCCCAUGUUUGUGACUGAGACAAAACAGUGGGACUAUAAUUUUGCAAAAGGUCAAGCAGAAGCUAGUCCCGGGGGUACCUGGCUGGCUCAGUGGUUGAGUGUUUGCCUUUGGCUCAGUUGGUGAUCCCAGGGUUCUGGGAUUGAGUCCUACAUCAGACUCCCUACAGGGAGCCUGCUUCUCCCUCUGCCUAUGUCUCUGUCUCUCAUGAAUAAAUAAGUAAAAUCUUAAAAAAAAAAAAAGAAGAAGCUAAUCCCAGAAACUAAGACAUACACUCAUGAGUCUAUACCAUUCCAGCUCUGAUCUGCAUGGAAAAGCACUUAAAAGCCCUUGUAGGGAACAAAAGCUAGCAGGACAGACAGGCCCCACAGCUGCCUUACUCCCUCCGCAGCAUCCUAAGAGCAGCAAUGGCAGCUGUGAUGUUCACAGGGCAGCAUCCUGCACCUACACCAGAGUCUUUACAGCCACACCUACCUAGAACCACCUACAGGUAGAUAUUAGAGGUACUCUUACAGAGUGGGAAGAGGCAGAUGAGAUCACAUUUGUACUCCACCCUUUGUGGUCACAGGAAAUCUUUUUAGUCACAGGAUCUUUGACACAAUUCCCAUAAAAAUGGAUAUGUGUUUUUUUCCAAUUCACAUUAGACCAAAAGCAACAAAUUGAACGUGACAAGAUCUGGCAUUGGAUAAUCUGAAAACAUCAAGUUCCUACAGUUGACAUGCUGAUAAAACAGGAAAAGAGUGAAAUAUUAAAAAGUACAUUGAAGAAAUCAGAAAGCAUGUCAAUUUGAAGCUGCCAUGUGUAAGAGAUAACAGUUUUCCCAGAGCCCAGAAAGUCUCACUGUACAACAGAUUAUAGGCAUCGAUGUUCAUGAUACUGAUGCUUAGUGAAUGAGAAAAGAUUACCUGUCUGACGGGUGGAGGCAGGUGCAGGAACAGAUGCCAUACUUGGGACUGGUACAAAGGGUUGGAAUAUGAGGUUCAUUCUACCCUAUUCAGGGACUGAUCUACACAUGUAAACAUCUAGAAGCUCCCAGGAGAUAAGAGUAGACAACAUUACUUAAGUAGGGCCUUGUGGAGCAGAAAAAAUUGAAAGCAGAUUUUGACUACUUGUUCAGUUUUAUUAACAAAAGGAUCCACUGUUCAUUACCUGAGGGCACAUUGGAAAUAGUAAAUAGUUAAGAGAUAAAUAGGGUCUCAAUCAACCAUUCUUUGGAAGAGUAAAACUCUUCUGUCUAGAGAAUUUCAUUACAAAAUGGCAUAUGGGGGGAUCCUGGGUGGCUCAGUGGUUUAGCACCUGCCUUUGGCCCAGGGCGUGAUCCUGGAGUCCCGGAAUCAAGUCCCGCGACAGGCUCCCAGCAUGGAACCUGCUUCUCCCUUCUCCUGUGUCUCUGCCUCUCUCUCUCUCUGUCUAUCAUAAAUAAAUAAAUAAAUAAAUAAAUAAAUAAAUAAAUAAAUAAACAAACAAAUAAAUAAAUCUUUAAAAAAUAAUGGCAUAUGGCUAAAAGUCCCUAGGGGUGUCUGGGUGGUUCAGUUGAUUAAGCAUCGAACUCUUAGUUUCGACUUAGGUC
rnacentral:lncRNA from 1 species